ensembl:lncRNA
GGCUGUGCGCUGUCCAGGUCCCACCAAGGGUCAGGGUCGUACCUGGGCAGAAGCAGUCCAGGAGUUCUGGACUCCUUUUCCAGGCUUCUUCCAUUUGCACUGCCACUUUCGUGUGGCUUUCACCUUCUUCCCUCCCUUUCCAAACUCAAAUGAAAAUUCUUCCAAGUGCUUGUCUUCCAAUCUAAAAAUAAAUGUAGAGCGGCAAAGAGUCUAACCCUUGAGAGGAGGCGCGUCCGUGUCACUGAGGCCAGUCCGCCUCAGGUCAGGCGCUUGCAGCAAUAGCUGUUUUUAAGAGAGGGCAACUUGGCGGGCAAAGUGGGCAGGAAGGGCCACUCAGUCUAAUGACAGCAGCUACAGAAUUUAGACACGGGACAUGAGAAUACUCGGAGGAUUUAAUCCUCUCUCCCGCAGCCUUUUCUCUUGGUAUUUCCUGAGGACGGUGUGGGGCCUGCAGCGACUAGCUUUGGGUCUGACUAAGCGUUUUCUCUGGAGAGGAGCAAGCUGCGACGAGGGCCUCAUUCCUGGACGGGUGUAAGACUCGAGGGAGAGGCAGAGCAAGAACAAGGCACCUUCUCUGAGAAACACAAAGCUAGAAAGGAGCUAGACCAGCCUUUUGCAUGCAGAAGCUCACCUGAUGUUGUUGAAGCACUUUCCUGGCAUUGGGAGCUGCUGGUUCAUCCUGAGGGAUCUGGGGACUGGGCCUCGUUUCACAGAUGGGGAAGCUGAGACCUGGCUGUAUUCAUCCUCCCUUAGCACAAUGACCCCACUAUUUGCUCUUCUCCUACUUCUCUGGAUAAUGUUUGAGUGACACAACAAGCCCUUCUUGAAAUUCUUACACAAUGAGAACUGCAAGAGGACCCUUGAUUAGCCAAAGUCCCAAAAGCGAUCCGGGAUCUCAAAGAAUCCAAACUGCAAAAACAUUUUUGCCCUCAACACUAUUCAUAUGAGCUGCUAAGACAAGACCAGAGGUGUUACUGUGCUGUAAAAAGACUUGGAAAUGUAAGUAAAUAACAGACAACUAACCACCGUCUGAUAAGGUUAUGGCUCCUAAAGAUUUACCCCCGCCACUUCUCAGAAGCACCACAAGGUGGCAGCAGUAGCUUACAAAAGCCGCUGGG